UACGGGGGGGGGCAAGCGUUGUUCGGAAUUACUGGGCGUAAAGGGCUCGUAGGUGGCCAACUAAGUCAGACGUGAAAUCCCUCAGCUUAACUGGGGAACUGCGUCUGAUACUGGAUGGCUUGAGAUUGGGAGAGGGAUGCGGAAUUCCAGGUGUAGCGGUGAAAUGCGUAGAUAUCGGGAGGAACACCGGUGGCGAAGGCGGCGACCUGGGGUCGAGACUGACGCUGAGGCGCGAAAGC
rnacentral:rRNA from 1 species